GCAGUGUUUAACGGCCGCGGUAUUUUAACCGCGCGAAGGUAGCGUAAUCACUUGUCUUUUAAAUGGAGACCUGUAUGAAUGGCAUAACGAGGGUUUGACUGUCUCCUCCACCCAGUCAAUGAAAUUGAUCUGCCCGUGCAGAAGCGGGCAUAAGCACAUAAGACGAGAAGACCCUAUGGAGCUUUAGGCAAAUGACCAGGCAGAACAAGUCACGGCCCUUAAUAAGCCUAGAAAAACAAAAGCUAAUGAUCAAAAUGCCUUCGGUUGGGGCGACCAUGGAGGAAACAAAAUCCUCCAAGCGGAAAGGGACAACCCUUGAACCAAGAGAGACACCUCGAAGUAACAGAAUUUAUGACCAACUAUGACCCAGGAUUUAACCUGAUCAACGGACCUAGUUACCCUAGGGAUAACAGCGCAAUCCUCUCCCAGAGUCCCUAUCGACGAGGGGGUUUACGACCUCGAUGUUGGAUCAGGACAUCCUAAUGGUGCAGCCGCUAUUAAGGGUUCGUUUGUUCAACGAUUAAUA
rnacentral:rRNA from 1 species